UGGCAGGGGUGUAGAGAUUCGAACUCUAAUCAAGAAUUUUGGAGACUCUAUUGCUGCCAUAGCUCACCCCU
rnacentral:tRNA from 1 species